GUAGGUGGCAAGCGUUGUCCGGAAUUAUUGGGCGUAAAGCGCGCGCAGGCGGUUCUUUUAAGUCUGAUGUGAAAGCCCCACGGGCUCAACCGUGGAGGGUCAUUGGAAACUGGAGAACUUGAGUACAGAAGAGGAAAGCGGAAUUCCACGUGUAGCGGUGAAAUGCGUAGAGAUGUGGAGGAACACCAGUGGCGAAGGCGGCUUUCUGGUCUGUAACUGACGCUGAGGCGCGAAAGCGUGGGGAGCAAACAGGAUUAGAUACCCUGGUAGUCCACGCCGUAAACGAUGAGUGCUAAGUGUUAGGGGGUUUCCGCCCCUUAGUGCUGCAGCUAACGCAUUAAGCACUCCGCCUGGGGAGUACGGCCGCAAGGCUG
rnacentral:rRNA from 1 species